ensembl:lncRNA LINC01438 long intergenic non-protein coding RNA 1438
AGACUCCUGCAAACAGCAGCUGGCUUAGUGGAGGCUGCCAGACUUCGGGGAUUCUGAGAUCUCUCAGCGAAGAUGCUGAUACAACUUCUGACACUGUUGGUGAUGAGUGGUGCAUAACAGCCGUUUCAGCUCUGAGGCUAUCAAAUAGUGAAAGAGAAUCUUCUACAUACAAAUCCCAGGACACCAGAACAGCUCUUAACAGCCCUCACUUUCCUGAGUAAGCUGAAGGUGGCUAACUAAAAGGCCUGAGAGAAAUUACUGCCUAAACAAUGAAGGAAGGAGAAAACCCCCAAGGAAGACAAUGUAAAGAUUAAGUAACAAGGUUUCAAUUUGAUACAAUGUGGGGAAUUUCAGUUUAAUUCUAAUUUAUACUAAUUUCUCAUAAUUGUCUUGAUCCUUUACGUAGAGAUCGGUUUGGAUAAAGGAAUCAUAGCUAUGAGAAGGCAGUUAGUUACUCAGUGAAUCCAAAUGGCAAAUUCUCUGAUGAGAAAGGGGAUGUCCUCAGGGAGGUCUAAUCAUAUGUUUUCUUAAACCAAACUCUUUUCCUUUUCAUUAG